AGUGAACGCUGGCGGUAGGCCUAACACAUGCAAGUCGAACGGCAGCACAGUAAGAGCUUGCUCUUACGGGUGGCGCGUGGCGGACGGGUGAGGUAUACACCGGAAUCUACUUUUUCGUGGGGGAUAACGUAGGGAAACUUACGCUAAUACCGCAUACGACCUACGGGUGAAAGCAGGGGAUCUUCGGACCUUGCGCGAUUGAAUGAGCCGAUGUCGGAUUAGCUAGUUGGCGGGGUAAAGGCCCACCAAGGCGACGAUCCGUAGCUGGUCUGAGAGGAUGAUCAGCCACGCUGGAACGGGAACACGGUCCAGACUCCUACGGGAGGCAGCAGUGGGGAAUAUUGGACAAUGGGCGCAAGCCUGAUCCAGCCAUACCGCGUGGGUGAAGAAGGCCUUCGGGUUGUAAAGCCCUUUUGGUGGGAAAGAAAAGCAGCAGGUUAAUACCCCGCUGUUCUGACGGUACCCAAAGAAUAAGCACCGGCUAACUUCGUG
rnacentral:rRNA from 1 species